rnacentral:rRNA from 1 species
UACGGAGGGUGCGAGCGUUGUCCGGAAUCACUGGGCGUAAAGGGCGCGUAGGCGGCAGGGAAAGUCGGCGGUGAAAGCCCGGGGCUCAACUCCGGGUCGGCCGUUGAUACUUCUUUGCUCGAGCACUGUAGAGGCAGAUGGAAUUCCGGGUGUAGCGGUGGAAUGCGUAGAGAUCCGGAAGAACACCGGUGGCGAAGGCGGUCUGCUGGGCAGUUGCUGACGCUGAUGCGCGACAGCGUGGGGAGCAAACAGG